AGCAGUCGCCGCGGUAAAACGUAGGUCCCGAGCGUUGUCCGGAUUUAUUGGGCGUAAAGCGAGCGCAGGCGGUUAGAUAAGUCUGAAGUUAAAGGCUGUGGCUUAACCAUAGUACGCUUUGGAAACUGUUUAACUUGAGUGCAAGAGGGGAGAGUGGAAUUCCAUGUGUAGCGGUGAAAUGCGUAGAUAUAUGGAGGAACACCGGUGGCGAAAGCGGCUCUCUGGCUUGUAACUGACGCUGAGGCUCGAAAGCGUGGGGAGCAAACAGGAUUAGAUACCCCAGUAGUCCCUGUCUCUUAUACA
rnacentral:rRNA from 1 species